AAAAAACUGAGUAGAAUUGUUCAAUUUCCUACUAACACAUUUUUCUGUUUUGCAGGUUCAUCCUCAUGGACACCACUCAUCCAAUUGAUACACUUCCUAGGAGUGGUAUUAACAUAAUUAAUGUUCAUUCUCCUCGAAGUAGAUCGGUUGGCUCUCACAACUCAUUCCAAUAGUAGCAUCAACCUACAGAGGCACUCAGGAACCCUCACCUCUCCCAUAAGGAACUCAACAGAUACAAACACAGAAAAUUCAAAGUUUUUUUGUAGCUAAAACCUUUAGGAGCUCAAUUGAAUCCAACCUUCUACCCUAUAUACCCCCCAUUUUACCACCUCAACAUCUCCAAUGGUACUAUUCAUGAGUCCCUCUCACUUGAAAUCCUUUACACUUAAAGCAACAAUCAAGCACCAAACUUUAGCCUACAGAAGAACCUAAAUAUAGGUACCAUCCUC
rnacentral:lncRNA from 1 species